rnacentral:lncRNA from 1 species
CCCCCCAAACAAUAUAUGUAUUUUUAGUUACAUUUCUUGUAUAAAAUGAUUACUGUAUGUAUGCUAUGGACACUUCAGAUUUCAGCAAGGGAUACCAGCGUGGAUAACACCACCAUACUACCAUUGGACACUGGGAAACACCAUAUGCAAAAAUACCCCAGAAUGCACAGGGGCAAGGGUCCUUUCCACAGUGUCCCUUUAUGCAUUUCACUGAAUUGACUGCUCUUAAGUUGUGCUAAUGCUUUGUGAUGCCAGUUCCCGUGUUUUAAAUGGAAAAUUUGCUUUGUGCUGUGUACACCUGAUUUCUGGAGGAAAAAAUGGAAACCGCCAUUGCACGUACGCCUAAAAAACAAAGUGCAGCUUGCACUUUAUAGAUUUUGUUUCGGUAUCAAUAAAUUUUGUUUUUCGUGGGAAAACAAAUAUUUCUGCCUUGGAAGACAACUUUUUUUAACCUUUUCCAUUGUGUUGCGACGGAAUUGUCUUUUGCAUUUAAAACACACAAAGGCCCCGUCUGUUUGAAAAAUGGGAGCACCUUUUCAGACCAUAGAGGAAAGAAAGAAAAGUGAGAGCAAGGCAACACACUUCUCAAAUCUUUGUGUUGACAUUGCUCACCAUUGUUGACCCCCUCCUUUUCAAAGAGUUGCUGAUGUUCUGUUUGUUAAUGCCUAAAUUAGGCCCUCCCUUUUACCUGGCCACCAUUUCUGUGCCUUUGCUGAGGCGUCCCUAGUGUCCCCUUGGAAGAGGGGAAUGAGGGCCUACUCCUGUGUCAUCUCUGGUUCUCGUAGCCGGAGGGGCAGGAGCUGUUCUCCAGUGAGCUGUUACAACGGAGGCUGGAGAGAGGCUCACCUCUCCUGGCUGCUGCUCUGAUGGCGGGGCUGUUAUCACUUUGGGCCACUCUGAUCCAGUUUCCCCGGGUGUUCCUCUGCACACCACACCUCUGCUGUGUCACUGGGGCCGUCGACACACAGCUGGGGUGCCUGUCCCGUCAACUCAACUCUACUCUACUGACCACAACAACCUUGCAGAGCUAAUAGAGUAAUGCCUCAACGUCCGUUCCAGCCUAACAAGGAUCCAUGGUUUGCUCUCCCUGCCUUGAAGCCUGCGGGAAGAAGAUUUGACUAUUUUAGGCCAAGGUUACAUUGGUACUUCACCCUGUGAGGGAGUGACACGACUGAACCUCAGAUCUCGUCACCCAGUCUUUCCACAAACUCCAUGUGCCACUCCCAGUGAAAGGAACCAACCACCCAUUUGGUCUGUGCAGGGAGCCAUGAUUUGAUUUACUUGUAAAAUGUAUUCUAAGUGAAUAUGAAAUUAAAAUGAAGAGACCGUCAUUGUGCUACAAUCAGGGAUCAAGAAUCCAUGGUAGGCGCUUCCCAGUUAACUCACCUCAGUGCCAGGAUGCCAUGCCUGACCAGCAUAGCUGCUGAUUUGAUAUGUAAACUUUGGUAGGAAAUGCAAAUCCUGCCUUGCAAAGGACCCACUGUGUGCCACAUCCUGGACGCCAACACAAGGCUUCUCAGAGGAUUGAAGCUUUGCCUGUCUGACGUAAGUGGACAACAGAUGCCUGUCCCUGCUCAGGUAAAGUUUGCUGCCGGCCUGAACGACAUGCUUGGGCAAAUUUAGUUUAGAAAUAUUGCUUAUCCGAAAGAAGUUAGACUGGUUUUUAGUCCCUCUGAUGUGAAUGUCGCAUACCGGUAAGUGAAAUUUAAUAUUACAUUUUACUCAGUCAAGUGUAACUGGGGAGGGAUUGAUAAAUAGCUAUGAUAUCCUCCUUAAAGGCUAUAUUGUCAAAAAAAAGAGUAAAGAUUCAGACAGUGGCUAUUUAAAAGCAUUUAUGAAGAACAUCUGGUAUUGAACAAAUGUUCAUGAGUUAAAAUUAUAACUCCAUAUUAUCAGGGGAGACAGGAUCCAUCCAUCUUGAAUGUUUAAUGAUACUCAUGGGUAAGGUAGAGUGUUUUCACUGCUUAUGAGUGGGGGAGAGACGAGCUCUUGAAAACAUUGAUUUUCAGCCUUUUAUGUCUGCAGCAUGAGCUUAUAAUUCAGUUUAACAGAACUCUGACAGAAAUACCAGAUAACAGGUGCCUGAUGUCCUGGUAGGGUUUCUGAUAUGCUGCUUGUAUAACUGCAUAAAAUGGCAGGGAAACCCUUAAUAAUCUCCAAGUUUCAUUUUAUAGAUUUGAUAAAAGAACAGCAGUGGACUCAUGUUCCCCCCUUGUGAAGAUGAAAUGUUGAACAGAGAGUAGCAGAAAGGAUAGACAUAUUAAUAUGCCAUGGGUGUUGAUCAUCAGUAGUCGUGUUAUGUUGUCAGAUCACCGAUAAUAUUAAAUGGUUUUUGAUGAAUUAUUUAUUUCACAGUCGGUAAUGUUGGCUUUGCAUUAUGAAGAGGUAAGUAGUGACUUUUUCUUAGCCAUCACUAGUCCCAGGUGGCGUUGUGAGCAGUACGUGCUGUCGUUUCACCAUUCACAAAAAGAUUCUAGAAGGUUCUAAGGCUAAAUCAACUUUUUUCUACUAGAUUAUAACGCUUAGUUAUUUAAUUUAAUAGCGAAAGCUUUGGAUAAUCUAUUUUUUUCUUAGUAUUAUUUUACCAGGGAAAUUGACUGAGAACACAUUCUCAUUUACAGCAACGACCUGGGGAAUAGUUACAGGAGGAUGAAUGAGCCUAAAAUUGUCACCAGUACUAUUUCAGGGGAUUGGAUGUUUGUAUGAAAUGUAUAUUUUACUGUGCUGCAUGUGUUUGUUGUUUCUCUGGCCAGUCUUGUCUUUGUGUUAAGGAUGUGUCCCGUUCUCGUCAGUCAUCAGCUCAUCGAUUAAUCUUCCAGGAAGCAUUUUUCAGGGGAUCGAAUGUUUCUAUGAAAUGUGAAUUUUUACUGUGCUGCAUGUGUUUGUUGUUUCUCUGGCCAGUCUUGUCUUUGUGUUAAGGAUGUGUCUCGUUCUCGUCAGUCAUCAGCUUUUUGAUUAAUCCUCCAGGAAGCAUUUUGCAGCAGGUUGUACCACAUCAUGCACUGUAGUAAAUGCACAUUAACACCCCAUACUAGUGUAUUAUGACUUCCCUUUGUGUUCCACAUGAAAGGAGUGAACAGGGAUUAUUCACAUGUUUGAGUGUCACAGGAGCUUGGGAAAGAGCAACACUUCAUGCUGGAAAAGGAUGAAAGAAGGAUAGACUUGCGCCGUUGAAAAAGUGGAAGAGUCAGAACUGUAAAACUGUACAAUGUGCAGAGUUUUACCUGAAGAUGUUUUAUGUCAUUAACAAACAUCUGGUUGAUACCGUGUUAAACGAGGAAUUCAUCUGACAAGGGAUAGACACUUUGGUGAGUACAUUUUCUAAUGCUGUCAGUGGUUACCAUUUUUUAUCUUAUUGCAUUUAGCCAG